UCAGAAAGAUGAGAUAAACAGGAUGGCCAUUAAAACACAAAAACACACGCUAUCACCAACUGUGUGAAGAUCAACAUCAGAUUAAAUCCAGUUCAGUGAGUAGUGUUUAUGCAUCUCUCAGCCAGACAGGAUGUUCUACUGAUGUUUCAGACUGGGCUCCUGCUGAGCAGUGCGAAGCACAGGGAUUGCAUCUCACCGUGCAAGAGAAGCUACCACAAAGAGGGAAAGCCAUGUCCACUCUCUGAAGAGCCACAUGUUACUUCAGCCUCUUGUUGUGGACUUUUUGUUCAAGCGGAGUUUCUACAAUGCCUGAUUCAGCAGCGUUCUGGGAUCCUUCUCUGCAGAACUUAGUCUUCCAAGUCAGAUGUUCAAUGCCCAGGAGAAGACUUGGAAAACCAGAAGGAUUCUGAUUUCAGUCAUCUGGCUUCUGCUAUGAGAAAACGCCUCCCCUAAAGCCAUCUCUUAAAAGUUUGCCUGCUCUUUCUUAGUGCUCAUUUGUUCUGCUUACAGAAUUAGGCCCGUGGAAACUAGCUCUUUACCCACUAGGUUGAAAAGUUCAUUCUGUUCUACUUUUUAAUAAAACAAAACUUUCCUGUAAGUUCAGCUCCCACAAUCCAUCACAAGCCUCAUCUAGCUGGCACUGACCAAACGCUGACACCAUUUUAAUAAAGCACUUUUUUUUGACAGAUUUUUUUCCUUCUCUGCUGGCAUUUAAUACAUUUUUUUUCUCUCAAGGCACACUGGUCAGGUAACAUACAUCUCCUGCCACAACCAUGAGUCUCUGAAGUCUCAUGAGUCUCUGUCCCUUGACAGAAUCUCAUCCAUGAGUUCACCUUUUGCACUAGAUUUGUCAUGCCAUGUGCUGAAAAAGCAUUUCAUUUUCACCUCUUCUUAUUGUUCCUUUAACUCUGCUUUUUCCUUAACAGACAGCUUUGUCUGUACGUGCUUGAACUCUUCAGUCACUUCACCACAUAAGCCACGGAAGAAUUUUUUUUUUCUAGGAAUUGACAAAAAAAAAAAAGCAGUAAUUGCAAAGCCUAUCAGCAGUUACCUCCUGAAAACAGCAACAGAGGGCUGGUGAAGUCCAAAAGAGAUUUAAAAUAUUUUUCACAAUUGAAGAAAACAACUAAAUCUGUCUUCAGAGGAGCUGAGGACCGUGUGAGGAAGCAGUGAAGCUUUCCAAACAUAACAUACUACCACGCACUCCUCUUGUACUUCUGCUCAUGCUCAGACUAGGGCAAGCACAACCUCACAUUUUAUUCAAGUUCAUUAAACAAAAGCAUUCAACACAGCUCAUAAAGCCUUUAUUCAUAGCACAGCUUCAUAGCAUCCAGCGAUGGAGGAGAGAGGGGAGAAGAGCCUGUUGAAAAAAAUCUUUAGAGCAGAAAAAAUCUUUCCAGCUAAAACAGCAGCCGUGUAAGAAGUUCUGUCAGAAGGGACAGAAGGGAGAAAGAGACAGUUUCAAGAAGGUACCUGGAAUGUUAUUUUGGAGAUCACCUUAAAACUACUCUGAAAAGAUUUCUUUGUAUUCUGCUACAAGGCACACACAUAAGGUAGAGACUCUGUGACCAGGGCUGGGUGUAACAGAUCUGGAGAGGUAAUGGAAGCCAUCACAUCGACCUCACAGGCAGGAAGCUCACAGCUUUAGCAUUUUGCCUUUGAUCACAAAGCAAGUUCCUUCACAGAAAGUUCCUGAGUUGUUGCUGCCACACGUAUAAAAUAAUGCCUGCUUCAUAGGGAAAGCUGUGGUGAAGCUCACUCACAAGCAUAGGUCCCAAAGAACAUCAAUUUCAUAAGGACAGACACGAAGCACUGAUCAGGGCACCAUCCUACAGCUGCACCUUUGUAACUCCUCACAGCAGCAUUGCUGUUCUAGUCUCUUCACACUCUCGUCUAUAAGGUGCAUUUCUGCAGCUGUUUUAAGAAAUAUCAUUAUGCAUUAUCUAUUGCUUUAAAAAAAAAAAAAAAA